ACGUCAGAACUGUUUCGGUCUUCCAUCAGGGUUUCCCCUGACUUCAACCUGAUCAAGUAUAGUUCACCAUCUUUCGGGUCACAGCAUAUAUGCUCAAGGUACGUUCCAGUUAGAGGUAUAAAUAAUAUAAAUAUCAUCAUACAUAACUAUAUAGAACGCCCCGGGAUUGUGUUAAUUAACUAUAAAUAGUUNAAAAACUAAUCCCAAUAAUAGUCAAGUUAAUUACGCUAUUAGGUUU
rnacentral:rRNA from 1 species